rnacentral:rRNA from 1 species
GACGAACCACACGAACGUUAUUCGGAAUCACUGGGCUUAAAGGGUGCGUAGGCUGCGCAGCAAGUUGGGUGUGAAAUCCCUCGGCUCAACCGAGGAACUGCGCCCAAAACUGCUGUGCUCGAGGGAGACAGAGGUGAGCGGAACUUAGGGUGGAGCGGUGAAAUGCGUUGAUAUCCUAAGGAACACCCGUGGCGAAAGCGGCUCACUGGGUCUCUUCUGACGCUGAGGCGCGAAAGCUAGGGGAGCAAACGGG